rnacentral:tRNA from 1 species
AGGGGCGUACUCCAAUGGGCAGAGAGACCACGUCCAGACCGUGGAAAGUGUGAGUUCGAGUCUCACCGCCCCUA